AUUGAACGCUGGCGGCAGGCCUAACACAUGCAAGUCGAGCGGAGCGACGGACGGGUGAGUAAUGCCUAGGAAUCGACCUGGUCGUGAGUGAUGACUUCCGGAUACGAGCGCUAAUACCGCAUACUAUCAGAUGAGCCUAGUUUGGAUUAGCUAGUUGGUGGGGUAAGGGCCUACCAAGGCGACGAGCCUUAACUGGUCUGAGAGGAUGAUCAGUCACACUGGAACUGAGACACGGUCCAGACUCCUACGGGAGGCAGCAGUGGGGAAUAUUGGACAAUGGGCGAAAGCCUGGUCCAGCCAUGCCGCGUGUGUGAAGAAGGUCGUAGGAUUGUAAAGCACUUUAAGUUGGGAGGCGUUACCAACAGACUAAGCACCGGCUAACUUCGUGCCAGCAGCCGCGGUAAUAC
rnacentral:rRNA from 1 species